UGGGGAAUAUUGGACAAUGGGCGCAAGCCUGAUCCAGCCAUGCCGCGUGUGUGAAGAAGGCCUUUUGGUUGUAAAGCACUUUAAGCGAGGAGGAGGCUACUUGGAUUAAUACUCUAGGAUAGUGGACGUUACUCGCAGAAUAAGCACCGGCUAACUCUGUGCCAGCAGCCGCGGUAAUACAGAGGGUGCGAGCGUUAAUCGGAUUUACUGGGCGUAAAGCGUGCGUAGGCGGCUUUUUAAGUCGGAUGUGAAAUCCCUGAGCUUAACUUAGGAAUUGCAUUCGAUACUGGGAAGCUAGAGUAUGGGAGAGGAUGGUAGAAUUCCAGGUGUAGCGGUGAAAUGCGUAGAGAUCUGGAGGAACACCGAUGGCGAAGGCAGCCAUCUGGCCUAAUACUGACGCUGAGGUACGAAAGCAUGGGGAGCAAACAGG
rnacentral:rRNA from 1 species